GAUGAAGAACGUAGCGAAAUGCGAUACUUGGUGUGAAUUGCAGAAUCCCGUGAACCAUCGAGUCUUUGAACGCAAGUUGCGCCCGAAGCCAUCAGGUUGAGGGCACGUCUGCCUGGGCGUCACAUAUCGUUGCCCAAUGCCUAUUGCAGUGCAAUAGGAAUUUCUAGGGCGAAUGAUGGCUUCCCGUGAGCGUUGUUGCCUCGCGGUUGGUUGAAAAUCGAGUCCUUGGUAGGGUGUGCCAUGGUAGAUGGUGGUCGAGUGAGAACGAUACCGAUCAUGUGCAUGCUCCCCAAAAUAUGGCCUCUAUGACCCACACGCGUCUUUUGACGCUCAUGACGAGACAUCAGGUCAGGCGGGGCUACCCGCUGAAUUUAAGCAUAUCAAUAAGCGGAGGA
rnacentral:misc_RNA from 1 species